AUUGAACGCUGGCGGAAUGCUUUACACAUGCAAGUCGAACGGCAGCACGGACUUCGGUCUGGUGGCGAGUGGCGAACGGGUGAGUAACAUAUCGGAACGUAUCCAAUAAUGGGGGAUAACGAGUCGAAAGAUUCGCUAAUACCGCAUACGCCCUACGGGGAAAGCUGGGGACCUUCGGGCCUGGCGUUAAUGGAGCGGCCGAUAUCUGAUUAGCUAGUUGGGGAGGUAAAGGCUCACCAAGGCGACGAUCAGUAGCUGGUCUGAGAGGACGACCAGCCACACUGGAACUGAUACACGGUCCAGACUCCUACGGGAGGCAGCAGUGGGGAAUUUUGGACAAUGGGCGCAAGCCUGAUUCAGCCAUUCCGCGUGAGUGAAGAAGGCCUUCGGGUUGUAAAGCUCUUUCGCAAGGGAAGAAAACUUAGCCACUAACAUUGGUUGAGGUUGACGGUACCUUGAUAAGAAGCACCGGCUAACUACGUGCCAGCAGCCGCGGUAA
rnacentral:rRNA from 1 species